GCUACUCAAAACCAACUGAGUCAUGCAGUAUUGUCUGUGAUGUUGUUGUGCCAAGCAGAGGGAGGUGUCUGGACAGUCGACUUUCUUGAUUCUUUAAAUUUUUUAUGUUUUGGUUUAAUCAUGAGUAACCUAAUGAGUUUGUUAUUUUCUUUAUUAUAGUGGCCUACACCUGGUUUACUUGUGUAUGAUUUGAAUUGACUUGUCUAUUGCCUUUAAUGCUUUCUUUCAUUGAUUUAGUUAAUUGUUAAUGGUUUACCAGUAGAUACACUGAAUUCUCAUUUUUUUGGGUGAUCUUUAAACUACAUUUAGUAUGAUCAAGAGGGAGGAAUGUAGAAUAUUGGUGUAUUUUAGUGUCUCUCUUUUGUUCACAUUUCUAGUCUAGGAACAGGCCAGGGCCUCUCUUACUGAUACAAGGUGUUCCUCAACAUUCUGCCAUUGUUAUGUCUCAACAAGGUUGAACCGACCUGGUCCUCCGGGACAUAGCCAGGGCCAGAUACCUUAUCAAUGCUGAGAGUGCGUCUGUUUUCGUGUUAUUCAUGUAUCCCCUUUUUGUAUAAUACUCGCCCCAACCCUUUGGUUCGACGAGAAGAGGGGUUCGACAGCCAAGGAACAAGUCAUCGACCACCGGGUCCACUAUAGAUUAUUCAACCUAAGUCUGUAUCUCGCUGUACAUCCUGGAAUAAACCAUCUAUUCAACCCUCUAA